AGUGAACGCUGGCGGUAGGCCUAACACAUGCCAGUCGAACGGAAGCACAGUAAGAGCUUGCUCUUACGGGUGGCGAGUGGCGGACGGGUGAGGAAUACAUCGGAAUCUACUUUUUCGUGGGGGAUAACGUAGGGAAACUUACGCUAAUACCGCAUAUGACCUACGGGUGGAAGCAGUGGAUCUUGGGACCUUGCGCGAUUGAAUGAGCCGAUGUCGGAUUAGCUAGUUGGCGGGGUAAAGGCCCACCAAGGCGACGAUCCGUAGCUGGUCUGAGAGGAUGAUCGGCCACACUGGAACUGAGACACGGUCCAGACUCCUACGGGAGGCAGCAGUGGGGAAUAUUGGACAAUGGGCGCAAGCCUGAUCCAGCCAUACCGCGUGGGUGAAGAAGGCCUUCGGGUUGUAAAGCUCUUUUGUUGGGAAAGAAAAGCUGCAGGUUAAUACCUCGCUGUUCUGACGGUACCCAAAGAAUAAGCCCCGGCUAACUUCGUG
rnacentral:rRNA from 1 species